AAUGUCCUGGGCUAUCUGAGUAUGUGUGCCUUCUUCCAAGAGCUCGACUUCUUGCGCUUGCGUGGCAGUGGCCGCGGCAGGUUGUAUCAGCGUCUGGAUCGCUUUGAUGAGAGCUAUCUGAGUUGGGUUUGCGCAACAAGAAGCCGAGCCAGACAACUCAGUCAUCUUAUCUGCAAGCCUCAACCAUCCAAUUGAAUCAAGAAGACUGGUAGACUGUUCAGCCAUGUUUCUAGAGUGACCUAGGACAAGCUCAGACAGCAGGCUAUUCUCUGGUCAGCCAGCCAUAAACAGUCGUAGAGUGGGUUGCGUGCUCAGGAACUCUCCUCAAUAUAACGACAGCAACGGGAAUGAGAGACUCACUUGGAGCAGAUGGAUUGCAGUAAACCAAGUCUGGCGCGUCAUUCUUGUGGUUGAUUAAAAUCUGCGUGAAACGAAACCAGACACCUGAGUUACUGCUGCACGUCCUGCGCUUAGAAAACUUAUUCAUUUAGUUGUCUAUUGCCUUCUUGCAAAUGGGGGAGUGAACAGAAAUCGACAGAAACCGAUUGUCGGUGUAAUUACCGGGCCGGGUUUGGCGUGCUAUCUGGCUUGAUCUUCCACCAAGAAUAACCCCUUACAUCACAAUGGAUAUCUCCAAGUACGCGG
rnacentral:sRNA from 1 species